UGGGGAAUAUUGGACAAUGGGCGAAAGCCUGAUCCAGCCAUGCCGCGUGUGUGAAGAAGGCCCUCGGGUCGUAAAGCACUUUAAGCUGGGAGGAAGGGCUGUAACCUAAUACGUUGCAGCUUUGACGUUACCAGCAGAAUAAGCACCGGCUAACUCUGUGCCAGCAGCCGCGGUAAUACAGAGGGUGCAAGCGUUAAUCGGAAUUACUGGGCGUAAAGCGCGCGUAGGUGGCUUGGUAAGUUGAAUGUGAAAUCCCCGGGCUCAACCUGGGAACUGCAUCCAAAACUGCCUGGCUAGAGUACGGUAGAGGGUGGUGGAAUUUCCUGUGUAGCGGUGAAAUGCGUAGAUAUAGGAAGGAACACCAGUGGCGAAGGCGACCACCUGGACUGAUACUGACACUGAGGUGCGAAAGCGUGGGGAGCAAACAGGAUUAGAUACCCCCGUAGUCC
rnacentral:rRNA from 1 species